UGGUCAAACAAAGAUGUAGCCUAAAUGCAGACACAGUCUGUGAACCAAUUGAGGGGUUCUUCUGUACAGACCCUAAAUCAGGAGGCUGUGGUGUAGCACAGAAACACAAGAGCUGUGAACCAGGACAGUACAUCAGCAAGAAAGGAACAGCCUCCACAGACACAGACUGCUCUGACUGCUUCAGUAGAACAUUUUCUAAUGGGACAAUGUUGUCUUGUCAGCAACACAGACAAUGUGAAAAAGAAAACCUUCAGCUGAUAAAAGCAGGAACAGCUUCAACUGACGCUGAAUGUGGAGAAGAAGGUUCCAAUAUCACAGGAAUAGUGAUCGGUGUGGUGGUUUUUUUAGUUGUAGCAGCGAUUGCUGCUGUACUUAACUGGA